GGUUAGACGAAGAAUUUUAGUAGAGUAAAAGUUUUGUUUAGUUAACAUUCGAUCUCGUAAAAGAUGGUGAAAUUUUGUUGAUAAGGUGAAAUUUUUAAUUUAAGGGAAAUUCUUAAGAAAUCUGUUGAGACUAAAAAAUUUAGGUAAAAAACCAGGAUUAGAUACCCUGUUAUUCUAAAUAAUAGUGUAAAUAGGGUAGUAAAAGUUGUUCUUCAAACCCAAAGAUUUUGGCGGCAUCUUAUCCUAAUAGAGGAGCUUGUCCUAUAAUUGAUAGUCCCCAUUUUAUCUUACCCUUUUUUGUUAAGCUUGUAUACCGCCGUUGUCAGAUUACUUUAAAAGAACGUUUUCAGGAAAAAUAUUUUUCUUACUUCAGGUCAAGGUGCAGUUUAUAAAAGGGCAGUGAUGAGCUACAAUUUUUAAUAGAAAUACGGAUUUUAGGCUUAAAACUCAGGUGAAGGUGGAUUUAUUAGUAAAUUUACUUAAGUACAGUAAGUUGAAUAAGGCAAUAGGAUGUGCACAUAUCGCCCGUCACUCUCUUCUCAAGAGGAGAUAAGUCGUAACAAG
rnacentral:rRNA from 1 species